UACGAAGGGGGCUAGCGUUGCUCGGAAUCACUGGGCGUAAAGCGCACGUAGGCGGAUCUUUAAGUCAGGGGUGAAAUCCCGAGGCUCAACCUCGGAACUGCCUUUGAUACUGGGGAUCUCGAGUCCGGAAGAGGUUGGUGGAACUCCGAGUGUAGAGGUGAAAUUCGUAGAUAUUCGGAAGAACACCAGUGGCGAAGGCGGCCAACUGGUCCAGUACUGACGCUGAGGUGCGAAAGCGUGGGGAGCAAACAGG
rnacentral:rRNA from 1 species